GUCCCCUGGUAGCACAGUGGUAGAGUUUCUGCUUUCUACGCAGGAGACCCAGGUUCAGAUGCCAUGCGGACC